UGCUGCGGGCUCAGAGGCAGAGCUCAGGGCGCGUCCACCAUGGCCUGGACCCCUCUCCUGCUGCCCCUCCUCACUCUCUGCACAGGUCACCUGGCUUCUUCCCAGCUGACUCAGCCACCUGCAGUGUCCGUGUCCUUGGGACAGACGGCCAGCAACACCUGCCAGGGAGACGACAUAGGAAGCUCUUAUGCUCAGUGGGACCAGCAGAAGCCGGGCCAGGCCCCUGUGAAGGUCAUCUAUCAGUACAAUCAGAGACCCUCGGGGAUCCCUGACCGGUUCUCUGGCUCCAGCUCUGGGGACACGGCAACCCUGACCAUCAGCGGGGCCCAGGCCGAGGAUGAAGCCGACCUUUACUGUCAGUCAGCUGGUAUCAGUAGUGGUACCCACUGGGUAUUUCAGAACAGCACUUCUCAGUUGGGACUGCCCACCUUGGCUUCUGGCCACCAUAUUAGGCUGAGCAAGUGA